rnacentral:misc_RNA from 1 species
CCGAGUUAGGGUUGCCCUUUGGGUGCCCGACCUCCCAACCCUUUGUCUAUGAUACCACAGUUGCUUCGGCGGACCGAGGGGUCACACCCUCGCCGGGCCUCACCGCCUGGAGAGCGUCCGUCGAUGGCCUCAACUUAACACUUGAACCCAAAACCUGUCGUCUGAAAACAUUUAUGAUUUAUAAUCAAAAACA